CUAAGGUAGCAAUUGACUAUAUUAUAUGUCCGGUUUGUUUUGAAUCUAACUUCAAACGUAAACCAUCGUACAGAUUACGUUGAACAAAAUGAAAUCUAAUUAAUGAAGGCGGUGAUUAAUUUUCUUUACCAUAACACAUGAAUAUAAUAGAAAAGACGUGAAUACGUUUGACAAAAUCCGAUGAGAAUUACAAAUAUAACAUUAAACAUUUAAACUAAAUACAUGAAUUUGGGAUAGAUAAGUACCGUAACACGUCUUAUAGUAAUGCGAAUUCACACUCAGCAAAACAGUCACAAUCGGUAAUAAGUCACGUUUGGUAAUUAAAAGAUAAGACG
rnacentral:lncRNA from 1 species